AUUAAUAAGAGGGCAUCCAAGUCCGGUCAAAUACCAUAUCAAAGCCCUAAAACCCAUCCACCCCUUCCGCCAUCGAUUCUCUGUUCCUUUGUCUCUCUCGCUGACACUCUCCACUCCUAACUCCUCCCUCAUUCUUUCAUUCACUUCUGCAACUUCACACCUUUUUUUUUUUUUUUUUUUACAUUUAUAUAUACAGAGUAAUAAUAAUAUAUAUAGUAUUAUAUAUAAAUCAAACCUCAAGGCUAGAGAAUUUUCCUAGAAUCAGGAAUCAAGAAUCAAGAAUCCAAAGCCUGCGGUUACAAUACUUGAAUUUGUAGUUUGCUUCUCUUAUUUCAAUUGUCCGUAGGAAACCCUAAAUGUCACGCUCUCUCCCUCCCUUCCUCUCUUCCUGUGGGUGCCAAGUGUUUGUGGUGAAGAUCCGAUUUCUACUCACUCUUUAUCUUAUGGAUGGCGUUGUUAUUCAUCCCUACAUGUGAUACAUACAAGCACGGUCAGUUUUACGAUUCCCUUUCAUCAUGUGAAUCUCUUUUUAUACAAUACGUUGUGAUGUGAUUGCCAUGAUUCUUGUUACACUCUCUGUUUUCCAGUUUUAGAGGUUUUUCAUAGGGCGAAUUCCGUUUUUUUCCUUCUUCUUUUUUUCUCUUUGUGGGUGGGAGGCGGGCUUUAAAUUAAAUAAAUUAGUAAAAUCUCCUCUUCAAAGGGGUGAAUAUGGAGUUCGAACCAUUGAGCAUGGGUAAUGAGGUGAUUGAAUUCGACAUGAUGGGGAUAGGAGAUGACGCCGUCGACAUUGAGCAUCCCGUUGACGAGGACGAUCUUCUCGACUCCUCUGCUGGCGCUGUUGCUGUUUGUGCUUCUGCUUCUGCUGGGGAAGUUUACAUCCCCGAAGGAGAUACUAACCUUGAACCUUACGAGGGUAUGGAAUUUGAAUCCGAAGAGGCUGCCAAGGCCUUCUACAAUUCUUAUGCUCGCCGUGUUGGGUUUAGUACUCGUGUCAGCAUGUCUCGCCGCUCCAGGCGUGAUGGAGCCAUCAUCCAGAGAUCAUUCGUCUGUGCGAAAGAGGGUUUUCGUGUUGACAAGGAGAAACCUGGCCGCGACGGCAGAGUGAAGCGCCCCCGUGCUGAAACCAGAGUUGGUUGUAAGGCCAUGUUGGUGGUUAAGAUUCAAGAUUCAAGCAGAUGGGUUGUCUCUGGGUUUGUCAAGGAACAUAACCAUGAGCUGGUCCCUCCUGAUAAGGUGCAUUGUCUCCGCUCUCACCGCCAUGUUUCUGGUGCCGCCAAGUCCUUGAUUGAUACCUUGCAAGGCGCUGGGAUUGGACCCAGUGGGAUAAUGUCUGCUCUUAUUAAAGAAUAUGGUGGAAUUAGCAAUGUUGGAUUCACAGAGCGUGACUGUAGGAAUUACAUGAGAAGUAGUCGGCAGAGGACCCUUGGAGGGGAUACCCAGCUCCUCUUGGACUAUCUAAGGAACAUGCAAGCUGAGAACCCGGCCUUUGUCUAUGCUGUCCAGGGAGAUGAAGAUCAGUGCAUGAGCAACAUCUUCUGGGCUGACCCAAAGGCAAGGAUGAACUACACUUACUUUGGUGAUACAGUUACCUUUGACACAACAUACAGGUCAAACCGGUAUCGGUUGCCCUUUGCACCCUUUACAGGAGUGAACCAUCAUGGACAGCCUGUGUUGUUUGGCUGUGCCCUCCUAAUAAAUGAAUCUGAAGCAUCAUUUGUUUGGCUAUUUAAAACAUGGCUUGCGGCAAUGUCUGGUCGUCCUCCAGUCUCAAUCACUACCGAUCAUGAUCGAGUGAUUCGAUUGGCCGUUACACAGGUUUUUCCAGUGACCCGUCACCGUUUCUGCAAGUGGCACAUCUUUAAGGAAUGCCAAGAGAAGUUAUCCCAUGUGCUUUCCGGACAUCCGAAUUUUGAAGCAGAACUCCAUAAAUGUGUAAACCUGACUGAGUCCAUUGAAGAGUUUGAAUCUUGUUGGUUUUCCCUAAUUGAUAGAUAUUACCUCAGGGAACAUGAGUGGCUUCAAACAGUUUUUUCUGAUCGCCGGCAGUGGGUCCCUGUAUACUUGAGGGACACUUUCUUUGCAGAAAUGUCCAUAACACAACGCAGCGAUAGCAUGAACUCCUACUUUGAUGGGUAUGUGAAUGCAUCAACAACUCUGCAGCUUUUUGUCAAGCAGUAUGAGAAGGCUUUGGAAAGUCGCUAUGAGAAAGAAGUUAAAGCAGAUUAUGAUACGAUUAAUACUAGCCCCAGUCUAAAGACCCCAUCACCGAUGGAGAAACAGGCAGCUGAACUCUACACAAGGAAACUAUUUAUGAAAUUUCAAGAGGAGCUAGUUGAGACUCUUACUUUCUUGGCGACCAAAGUUGAGGAUCAGGAUGCAAUCAGUAUCUAUCGAGUAGCUAAAUUUGGGGAAAGCCAUAAAGCUUACUUUGUUAGAUUUAAUGUUCGAGAGAUGAAAGCAACUUGUAGCUGCCAGAUGUUUGAGUUCUCUGGCCUACUUUGUAGACAUAUAUUGACAGUCUUCAGGGUGACCAAUGUCCUCACUCUACCAUCUCGCUAUGUUUUGAAGCGAUGGACGAGAAAUGCCAAGAGUGGCGUCAUAUUGGAGGAACGAGCCAAUGAUUUGUUGAAUAGUUCCCGAGAAUCUCUUACUGUGCGAUAUAACAAUCUUCGUCAUGAGGCCCUUAAGUAUGUAGAUGAAGGUGUGAAAACCAUAGACAUCUACAAUGUGGCAGCGGCUGCUUUACAAGAGGCAGCAGAUAAAGUUGCUCUUGCAAAAAAGAAUGGUGGGAGAAUAGCUAAUGUCAAUGGAGCUGGCAGAGAAGACCGCACUACUCAGGGAAAUCAUGCUAGUGCUUCCUUUGGGGAUCAUCAAUGGGGUUUAGAGCAAUCUCCAUCUAUGGAUGACCAAGACAGGAAAAUCCAGAAACUAUCACGUCAGCUGGAACGCGCACGGCGAAAAUGUGAAGUAUAUCGGGCCAACUUGCUCUCGGUUUUGAAAGAUAUUGAAGAGCAGAAACUGCAGCUUUCAGUUAAAGUUCAGAACAUUAAGUUAGGGAUGAAAGACUGAGAUGCAAGUGGGAAGAAGGGUAAUGGGUGUCCCUUUCCGCAGGGUUCUCUCUACUUGGUUGUAAAUAGUGUUUCUCCUCCAUAUGCUCCUACAAGUUACUCUCCUGUAUAAUUGAUUAGGAGAAUUGUGUUUUUCAAACCCCCCAACCACACCUAUCCAGGUCUCUGCCUUUGGUAGGGGGUGGAAGUUCCAGACACCACCGUGCUUGUUAGGAGUCUUCGGUUAACUACUCUUAAUCUAGUGCAAUGGCAAAGCAUGGCGCUUUAAAAUCACAUACUUGUAGCUGUAGGUUGUGAUGAGUCCGUUUUUACCUUCAAUCACCCCUCAACCUGUCAUGUACUGUGGCAGUCAAGGUACCGUACCGCCCUUCUUAAAACUCAAAGAGUUAUCAUCUUUUUUAUAUAAGGAUUAAUAUCAUUUUUAUUUUUGAAAGGAGAAAA